UAUUAUGUUGGUGUGAAACUAAUUGCAGUUUUUUGUAUUACUUUUAAUGGCAAAAACUGCAAUCACUUUCACACAAACCUGUAAAU
rnacentral:miRNA from 10 species